rnacentral:rRNA from 1 species
UACGUAGGGUGCAAGCGUUAAUCGGAAUUACUGGGCGUAAAGCGUGCGCAGGCGGUUUUGUAAGUCUGUCGUGAAAGUCCCGGGCUCAACCUGGGAAUUGCGAUGGAGACUGCAAGGCUAGAGUGUGUCAGAGGGGGGUAGAAUUCCACGUGUAGCAGUGAAAUGCGUAGAUAUGUGGAGGAACACCGAUGGCGAAGGCAGCCCCCUGGGAUAACACUGACGCUCAUGCACGAAAGCGUGGGGAGCAACAGG